AUAUGGUCAAGGAGUUAAGGGCCUAUGGUGGAUGCCUCGGAGCCGCUCGGCGAAGAAGGGCGUGGUAAGCUGCGAAAAGCCACGGGGAGGGGCACACACCCUGAGAUCCGUGGAUUCCCGAAUGGGGUAACCCGGCGGGCUGGAGGCCCGUCACCUAUGGACUGAACACAUAGGUUCAUAGGAGCGAGACCCGGGGAACUGAACCAUCUCAGUACCCGGAGGAAAAGAAAUCAAGAUGAGAUUCCCUGAGUAGUGGUGAGCGAAAGGGGAGGAGCCUAAACCAUGCUGGUGUAGAAGGUUCGGGCCGUUGCCAGCAUGGGGUUGAGGGGCCGUUCUGGAGGGAGCCCGGAAUCCCUCGCGCAGUUACCAAGCACCCGGCUAGUGGAAUGGUCUGGGAAGGCCAGCCAGAGAGGGUGAAAGCCCCGUACACGAAAGCUGAGGUGCCUGCGUGGGAACGGUACCCGAGUAGGUCGGGACCCGAGGAAGCCCGACUGAAUCUGGGGGGACCACCCUCCAAGGCUAAAUACGAGGCGGCUACCGAUAGUGGAGAAGUACCGUGAGGGAACGGUGAAAAGAACCCCGGGAGGGGAGUGAAAGAGAACCUGAAACCAUAGGCCUACAAGCAGUCAGAGCCCGCGGAAGCGGGUGAUGGCGUGCCUUUUGCAGAAUGAGCCUGCGAGUUACUGUUGCAAGCGAGGUUAAGGGACAGGAGUCCCGGAGCCGUAGGGAAACCGAGUCUUAAGAGGGCGCUAGUUUGCAGCAGUAGACCCGAAGCCGGGUGAUCUAUCCAUGGCCAGGUUGAAGCUGGGGUAACACCCAGUGGAGGACCGAACCCUAGUCUGGUGAAAAAGGCAGGGAUGAGCUGUGGAUAGGAGUGAAAGGCUAAACAAACCCGGCGAUAGCUGGUUCUCGCCGAAAUAGCUUUAGGGCUAGCCUUGCAGUUGACUGUAGCGGAGGUAGAGCACUGGAUGGGCUAGGGCCCUUCACCGGGUACCAAACCCAACCAAACUUCGAAUGCCGCUACAGGCUCUGCGGGAGUCAGACUACGGGCGACAAGGUUCGUGGUCGAGAGGGGAACAGCCCAGACCGCCAGCUAAGGUCCCCAAACCGUGCUUAGUGGGAAAAGAGGUGGGGCGGCGAAGACAGCCAGGAGGUUGGCUUAGAAGCAGCCAUUCCUUAAAAGAGUGCGUAACAGCUCACUGGUCGAGUCGCCCUGCGCUGACAAUGUAACGGGGCUAUGCACGGUACCGAAGCUGCGGGUCGACACCUGUUUGAGGGUGUUGGCGGUAGGCGAGCGUUCCGCGUACCGAUGAAGGUGUGCCGUAAGGCAUGCUGGAGGGGGCGGAAGUGAGGAUGCAGGCAUGAGUAACGAAAAGAGGGGUGAGAAUCCCCUCCGCCGAAAGCCUAAGGUUUCCUGAGUAAAGGUCGUCUGCUCAGGGUUAGCCGGCCCCUAAGGCGAGGCCGAAAGGCGUAGCCGAUGGGAAACGGGUUGAUAAUCCCGUGCCUCUCACAGUUUCCGAAGGGGUGACGCAGGAGGCGAAGCCGGGCCGGGGGAUGGUAGACCCGGUGUAAGCGAGCGAGCCUGAGAGGGCGGUAGGCAAAUCCGCCGCCUGAGGUGAGCCGUGAAGCCGAGCCCUGUAACAGGGGCGAAGCCGGUGUAGUCAGACUGCCGAGAAAGAGCCUCUAGGGGUAAGCUGUGAGAGACCGUACCGGAAACCGACACAGGUAGGCGGGAUGAGCAUUCCAAGGCGCGCGGGAGAACUCGCGUUAAGGAACUCGGCAAACUACCCACGUAACUUCGGGAGAAGUGGGGCCUCUGGUGGGUGGCGUAAGCUGCUUACUGGGGGUUGCAGAGUCCAGGCCCAAGCGACUGUUUACCAAAAACACAGGUCUCUGCGAACUCGUAAGAGGACGUAUAGGGACUGACACCUGCCCGGUGCCGGAAGGUUAAGGGGAUCCGUGAGCCUUUGGGCGAAGCGGUGAACCGAAGCCCCGGUAAACGGCGGCCGUAACUAUAACGGUCCUAAGGUAGCGAAAUUCCUUGUCGGGUAAGUUCCGACCCGCACGAAAGGUGUAACGACUUGGGCGCUGUCUCAACGCGAGACCCGGUGAAAUUGAAGUAUGGGUGAAGAUGCCCAUUACCUGUGGCUAGACGGAAAGACCCCGUGAACCUUUACUGCAGCCUGGCAUGGGGACUUUGCAUGGCAUGUGUAGGAUAGGUGGGAGGCAGGGAAGCCUGUGCGCCAGCACAGGUGGAGCCGUCGGUGAAAUACCACCCUUGCCAUGUAGGGUUUCUAACAUCUGCCGUGAUCCGGUAGGUGGACAGUGUCAGGUGGGCAGUUUGACUGGGGCGGUCGCCUCCUAAAGGGUAACGGAGGCGCGCGAAGGUCACCUUGCGCUGGUUGGAAAUCAGCGUGGACGUGCAAGGGCAUAAGGUGGCCUGACUGCGAGACCGACGGGUCGAGCAGGCGCGAAAGCGGGUCCUAGUGAUCUGGCGGUACCGAGUGGAAGGGCCGUCACUUAACGGAUAAAAGGUACUCCGGGGAUAACAGGCUGAUCCUGCCCAAGAGUCCACAUCGACGGCAGGGUUUGGCACCUCGAUGUCGGCUCAUCGCAUCCUGGGGCUGGAGCAGGUCCCAAGGGUUCGGCUGUUCGCCGAUUAAAGCGGUACGUGAGCUGGGUUCAGAACGUCGUGAGACAGUUCGGUCCCUAUCUGCCACAGGCGUUGGAUGGUUGAGGGGGUCUGCUCUCAGUACGAGAGGACCGGAGUGGACGGACCUCUGGUGUACCAGUUAUCGCGCCAGCGGUAGCUGCUGGGUAGCCAAGUCCGGAAGGGAUAACCGCUGAAGGCAUCUAAGCGGGAAGCCCACCCCAAGAUGAACCAUCCCUGGCACACAACGUGCCCUGAAGGAGCGAGGGAGAAGACCUCGUCGAUAGGCUGGCGGUGUACGCGUGGUAACACGUUCAGCCGACCAGUACUAAUCCUCCGUGAGACUUGACCGUAU
rnacentral:rRNA from 1 species